rnacentral:lncRNA from 1 species
CUGGCAACAGCCCUGGGAGGCCUGGCACGGGCCACAAUUAAGAGCUAAUGAGCAGGCCUGCUGUGGCUGCUCCUUGGCAAGAGCCCCGGCACUGGCGCGGCUGUCCCAGGGCAGCCAGCAUGCCCCGACCUCCAGAGUGCUGCUGACUGGGGUGCUAUUUCAGGGGCAGUGGCAGAUAGGCCUGGUGUGCGACCCCUCCUUGGGCUUUCUGAACACGCACAAGUUGCUGACUGUGGAAUGUGGGGCAGCUGGUUCCCUGCUUGGUCGACUCCCAUGGAUGCUGGAAAGGGGUGUGGUGGGCAUGGUAGUGGGGAUCUGUGGGGCUGUCACUGCUAGGGAGACUGGCACAGAGGAGGAAGCCUGGGCCCCGCUCCUCAGCUUCUCUCUCUGCAUACAUUGAGUAGGUCCUGCCUCCCUAGACACCCACGGUCCUGAUGAAAGGUGGGCCUGGGGGCAAAGGCAGCUCUGCAGGACCAAGGUGCAGGGUUCAGCACAUGCCUGUUGGGAGGGUGGCCACCAAAGGGGCAGCAGCAUGGCCAGUGGGAGGUCCAGGAGAAGCAGGGGUUGUGCUGCUGUCCCUGCUGCAUGUGGCUUGUCCCCCUCCCCCUGCUCGAGAGGGCCUUGCCCCCAUUCCUGGGAGAGGAGAGAGCAGCUCCAGCCACAUGGGCCACCAGCAGGCCACAGGUUCUGGGAGAGGUGUCUGGUGGGGAGUCCAAGCUGCUCCCCUCUGUCUGCCUCCCUCACCGGGGCACCACUUGGCCUUGCCUGGGCUGCACCACUUGGUGUCCCAGCUUCCCUGGUGUCCCUCUGCUGAGACGGGAGCCCAGAGACUCUCAGAGCCUCACCUGGACUGCAGGGCUAGCAGAAGGAUAAGGGGGUUCUGGAACCACUGCCCUGUCUCCAAUGGCACCCCUGUGCUUCUCAUCAGUGGGAGCCUCUCACCUCCCUCGGCAUGGCC